rnacentral:lncRNA from 1 species
AUAUGGGGACGAAGUCCCCAAUAACAGUAGAAAAUUCAAUAAAAAAAAAAAUUCGGGAAAAUUUCCCGAAUUUUUCAUUGUACUAAUGAACUCAAAAUCGUUCAAAUUUUUUUUUGUCGUGUUUUGAAAUCCCGGACCUGCGCAGAAAUGUACAAUGUACUUCCUUUUUCCGGUCUCGUUUGUAUGAAACUUUGAGUAAAAUAUAUAUUAAAAUAGGAAGGAACGCGCAAUACCAAUUUCAUUUUUAAUAAUUCCUUGAUAUGAAAAAACGUUACCUGAUGAUAGCGUUUCUUUGUUUACAUUGCAUAUGACGUCAUAAUUUAAAUAACGUCACAACUAAAAAUCCCUAACAACAGAACCAAAAUCGGAAACGUUACGGUAUUUCCGUUUCUUUUUUUUAAUAAAUAUUUUUAAGUUACAAAAAAAUAAUUCAUACAGACUUCGUCCCCAUUUACAGGUAAU